rnacentral:sRNA from 1 species
ACUCCAGGAGCAGAAAUACACUGGGAUGUUUGCAGUGACCGAGAGGGGCCGUGGGAGCAACAUGAGAGGGAUCCAGACCGAAGCCACCUUUGACCUCUCUGCCCAGAUGGGGAAAUGGAGGCUCACGGAGGUUAAGCAGCUGACUCUGGCUAUGCAGUUAAUGACAUAAAUGACUUAGCUACCUGGCGUGCCUCAGCAGCUGCCACUGUCUGAUAGGGGACCUGCAAAGUUGCAAUCAUAAUGACGAGGGGCCUCUGGUGAACACUGUCUCCCGUGGGGCUGGGAGAGAGAACAAUCCCAUCAUAAACUCAUACCACCGAGAACUGACAUAGCAGGAAUGGAUUUCUCCCUUCACUGUUUUCUGUGUUUUCCCCUUCAUUUCCCUUUCAAAAUGCUAGAGGUUAUUAAAUAAGUGUUCUCUCCCCAAGGACCAUUUAAAUCUCUUA